rnacentral:rRNA from 1 species
CUCGAAGUUUCUUGCGGGUGGAUUCAGUCAGGAGUCUACGAUCCUUUCUCGGUACGUGACCCCUCUAUUAUUUUAUAUAAUAGAAAAAAAAGGGGGACUCCGUUCGAAGGCGUGACUCGAAGGGGGCCUGACGCAUUUCCAACCCGCACGAAGGACGCCGCAGCCGGUUGGGUAGCUGCGCGUGUCGGCCAUGAGGAUGGGCAGUGGCAGUAGACCGUUUCUCGCUGUCUAAGUGGCGUUUGCCGGUUGUUUAGCCAGUCCAUCCGUGGCGCGACACCCGACCGAGGUUAAGGAGGUUCACUAGUUGGACCUCGCCGUCCCCUCACCUAAAAAUAAUUGGUGAGCGGGCCAGCGGACAGGCGAGUUGCUGCGCAAUGCCACUUACGUCCUCGAACUGGGUGGGGCGCAGUAGCCGCUGUUGGUCCGAUCAUCUGGCUAAGACCGCGUUAGGGAUUUGAUGGCUUGUGGCGAGUAGGUCGGUCACCCACCCGACCCGUCUUGAAACACGGACCAAGGAGUCUAACAUGUGCGCAAGUCAUGGGGUCUUGAUUAGGCCCAGAGGCAUAAUGAAAGUGACAUAUGUAUACAUAUGUAGAAGUUGGAUCUCUGAUUUUUAUUGGUAUAUGGAGUUGGGAUUUCCCGAGGAGUGUCUAUAGCGACUCCGGAAAGCACCAACGGCCCGCCCUGUUCUAAUUAUUAUUAGUGUGGACGGCGUUUGAGCGCACACGUUGGGACCCGAAAGAUGGUGAACUAUGCCAGGGCAGGACGAAGCCAGAGGAAACUCUGGUGGAGGUCCGCAGCGGUU